CCUCGUUCUUAGUUGCCAUCAUUCAGUUGGGCACUCUAGGGAGACUGCCGGUGAUAAACCGGAGGAAGGUGGGGAUGACGUCAAGUCAUCAUGCCCCUUACGUCCUGGGCUACACACGUACUACAAUGGGUGGGACAAAGGGCAGCGAACUCGCAAGAGCCAGCUAAUCCCAUAAACCCUGCCUCAGUUCAGAUUGCUCUCUGCAACUCGAGAGCAUGAAGGAGGAAUCGCUAGUAAUCGCAGGUCAGCAUACUGCGGUGAAUACGUUCCCGGGCCUUGUC
rnacentral:rRNA from 1 species